rnacentral:lncRNA from 10 species
GAGGGGACCAGGAGCGGGAGAAGCCGGGGCCGGAAAGGACUUGAAUCCACAGAGGUUGCAGUGAGCCAAGAUCCUGCCACUGCACUCCAGCCUGGGUGACAGAGUGAGACUCUGACUCAAAAACAACAACAAUAACAAACGAACUGGAGCUUCUGUUCAGAUAGUUCAUUUUCUGAUGGGAUUGCUGGGAGGAAAGUCAAUGGACCCAGCAGAAGGGACCCACGAGGGGCUCUAUUAUGCUAUUUGGCAAGAGAAUGAGAAAGUAGAGGACAGGCUGGAUGAAUAGGGUACCAUUGGCUUUUAAUGGGCUCAUGAAAAUUCUUAGCUCAGUGAAUUCUGGUUGGAUGUAGUGUUGUCAUCUGGCAGCCUUCCCAGCCAGUCAAACCAGGAGGUAUUGUCAUGUUGAUGUGACCUCACCUGCAGUUCUAUCAUUUUUUCUUCAUCCUGAGUUGCUUACUUGCAUAGUCAACUACUGGUAUGAGAGCAUGACGUCUGGAUUUGUACAGUAAGGACUUCAACUGACCUUCUUCAGACUGAGGACUGUUCCCAGUGUAUGCAUCAAGUUACUGAGGCAAACAAAGACUGGACUUACUCAUUGAGUGCAAAACACACAACAAAGGCUGAAGGCACUUCAAGCACUCGUGGUCCAAAGAUCGGGCAGAAAAAUUCAGAUGCAUCCUCACAAAGAUUAUGGCAGCAGCAAGUAAGAAGGUAAUGAUCCUGAGAAUCAGCACCCAAGACCAGUGGUCAGUCCAGCAGGAAAGAGAUAAAGGUGGCAUGGGACAAGCGCCACCCUCACCUCUGGGGACC